AGUGAACGCUGGCGGCAGGCCUAAUACAUGCAAGUCGAACGGCAGCACAGCAGAGCUUGCUCUGUGGGUGGCGAGUGGCGGACGGGUGAGGAAUACGUGGGAAUCUGCCCAGUCGUGGGGGAUAACGUAGGGAAACUUACGCUAAUACCGCAUGCGCCCUUCGGGGAAAGCCGGGGACCUUCGGGCCUGGCGCGAUUGGAUGAGCCCACGUCGGAUUAGCUAGUUGGCGGGGUAAAGGCCCACCAAGGCGACGAUCCGUAGCUGGUCUGAGAGGAUGAUCAGCCACACUGGAACUGAGACACGGUCCAGACUCCUACGGGAGGCAGCAGUAGGGAAUAUUGGACAAUGGGCGCAAGCCUGAUCCAGCCAUGCCGCGUGAGUGAAGAAGGCCCUCGGGUUGUAAAGCUCUUUUGUCCGGAAAGGAAAGCGCCGGGUUAAUACCCUGGUGUCCUGACGGUACCGGAAGAAUAAGCACCGGCUAACUUCGUGCCAGCAGCCGCGGUAA
rnacentral:rRNA from 1 species